GUCUACGGUUCGAGUCCGUAUAGCCCUAAAUGA
rnacentral:tRNA from 11 species